rnacentral:rRNA from 1 species
UGGGGAAUAUUGGACAAUGGGCGAAAGCCUGAUCCAGCCAUGCCGCGUGUGUGAAGAAGGUCUUCGGAUUGUAAAGCACUUUAAGUUGGGAGGAAGGGCAGUAAGCGAAUACCUUGCUGUUUUGACGUUACCGACAGAAUAAGCACCGGCUAACUCUGUGCCAGCAGCCGCGGUAAUACAGAGGGUGCAAGCGUUAAUCGGAAUUACUGGGCGUAAAGCGCGCGUAGGUGGUUCGUUAAGUUGAAUGUGAAAGCCCCGGGCUUAACCUGGGAACUGCAUCCAAAACUGGCGAGCUAGAGUAGGGCAGAGGGUGGUGGAAUUGCCUGUGUAGCGGUGAAAUGCGUAGAUAUAGGAAGGAACACCAGUGGCGAAGGCGACCACCUGGGCUCAUACUGACACUGAGGUGCGAAAGCGUGGGGAGCAAACAGG